GGUUGUGUAGUGUAGCGGUUAGCACUUUGGAUUUUGAAGGCCUCGGCCCUCCCUUCCAACAACCCCGGUUCGAACCCGGGCACGACCU